rnacentral:rRNA from 1 species
UACGAAGGUGGCAAGCGUUGUUCGGAUUUACUGGGCGUAAAGAGCGCGCAGGCGGUCGAUCAAGUCGAGUGUGAAAGCCCCCGGCUCAACUGGGGAGGGUCAUUCGAUACUGAUCGACUCGAAGGCAGGAGAGGGUAGUGGAAUUCCCGGUGUAGUGGUGAAAUGCGUAGAUAUCGGGAGGAACACCAGUGGCGAAGGCGACUACCUGGCCUGUUCUUGACGCUGAGGCGCGAAAGCUAGGGGAGCAAACGGGG